AUUUUCAGGGUCGGCCCUAGCCCAAGGCAAAUUAGGCCAUUCCCUAGGGCCUCAACAUUCUUAGGGGCCUCAUGCAAAAUUCGACCCCAAAACUUGCCCUAAUCUAGAACCCACCAAAUCUCUUAAAAAAUCAUUCAUUUACCUUAGGCUACAGCCUUACGGGAACAGGACGGAAGAGGAAGUGUUACUGAUUUCUCUCGUAAUCUCCACUAGAAAAUCUAUUAAUUCCCACACUAUUGUUGCAUUUAUCGUCACUUUAGAGAAAUUGGACCGAGUCCUUUAUUCACACAAGAAAUUCUUGGUUCCGAUGAAGACUUCCAAAAAUCUCAGAAAACUAAGCUAAGGUAAAAUUUUAUAUUGUCGCUGUGUUCUUUUUUUAGUAUUUUUUUUUUUUUGACGAGAUAUAUGUUCUUGAAUCUUCAUAUUUUGUGAACUUCUGAUUUUGGGCUGAAAAAGUCUGAAAGAAAAGUUGAAAAUUGUAUUACUGACUUCAAUCAAUUAAAACUUGAGAAAUUAAUGGAGCUUAGAUCAGGAAAAUUUAGAUCCGUCUGUAUUAGAGGUUUGUGUUGUCUUGUAUUUAGGAAAAUUUAAGAUACUUAGAAGAAAUUGUGAAUCGAAAUAUUUAUGCAACUAGGAUAGGUUCAUCAGUUCUAAAGGGUAACGGGUGUCACACGUUAUUGUUGCUCAUGAACAAUGGUUUUUGCCCCUACGAAAUGGCAAAUAAGAUGGAAGUAAUUGAUAAUACCCCAGAAAGAGUAGGUCAGUAUGAUAACUUUAGAAUUAACCUUUUAAAAGAUGUAUUUGCACUUGAUUUUUGCCUGUUCAUGUAUGAUGUUAUAAUUACUCUGUGAGAUAUAAUUUUCAGCAUUAACUUGGAGCAUCAUGAAACUAUAAAAAAUAGUUACUGGGAAACAAAAAUCCGAGUAUAACACUUACAAAAUAAUUUGCAAAACAUAACGGGGGCUUCUUAGUAAUUAGUCGUCUAGGACCUCAAAAUUCUUGGGGCCAACCCUAGUUAUUUUGAGAAGAAGGAUGAGCAUACAGAGAGAUUGAAGACUUAUAAUACUAUUAUCGCCAUGGGUUGAAUUGGUCAGUUUCUGCAAUGUAAAGUAGCUUCCAGAAUUAUUUACUCGGCACGAUAAAACAUGUUAGAACUCUGUCCUUAGUAGUUAAUUUUAGAAGUUAUAUACCUUUUUAAUCUUUUCUAGUUUUAUGUGAUCAAGUGGAAGUGACUUGUAAUGAUUUAUCUUUCACACCUCACAUCAAACGCAUAAUAUUAAGCCCUUGUUUGGUUCCCAUUAAAAUUUUAAUAUAUUUUUUAAACCAUCCAUUCUCCCAAAAACUAAGGCCGUGGUUGGUUUACCAUUUUCGGCCCAUUUUUCGUUUUCUGUUUUCGAAAAUACGGAAAAAAUGCGUUUGGUCUGUCGUUUUCGAAAACGAGUUAAAAUUUAUAAUUGAAAAUGCAAAACAACUUUUCAGCGUUUUCAGUUAUAAAUGUCGAAAACGUUCAAAACGCGGAAAACGAGCCGUUUUUGAGGAAAAUUAAAAAUCGUUUUGAAAAUAAAAAUGGAAACCAACCGUACCCUAAUAUUCUAAAACACAUUUAUCCAAAUUUCUCAUUACAAUGUUUGUCAAUCAGGGGCCAAAGUUUACAUGAUGACAAAUACAUUUGGAAUUUGAUGUAUCAUACAAAUAAAUAAUGUAAAACUAAUGUGAAAUAUAUAACUGGGUUUAUUUUGAGAGGGUCUACCUUCUUUUACCCUCUAUUACUCACUAAAAAUUGCCUGCCUAUCCUUCCUUGUCUACAUAUAUUUAAGGACUUCCUAAUUAAUUUAUUUUCCCCUACUUGCUCUUUUAACAAAAUGCAGUUAUUCCUUCAUUCCAGCUGAUUCUCUGUCCUUCUUGAUUCGUCUAGAAUAGGUUAAAUGGAUGGAAGGCCUACCAGCAGGCCCGGUCCUGGGCAGAGGCCAAUGAGGCCUCUGCCUCAGGCCCAAGACCAUUAGGGGCCUAAUUUUGGGCCCCUUUUUUUAUUUUUUUUAAUUAAUAUAUAUAUAUAUAUAUAAAACAAGGUGAGCAGGCCUAAAAUAAGGUGAGUCAGCCCAAGACUAAUUAUCCAACAACAAAACAACAUCCUUAAUACACCUUUGAAUUUUGUCGCUAAAGGGCCUAAUUUUUAUUGUUCGCCUCAGGGCCCAUCAAACACAGGACCGGCACUGCCUACCAGCAACCCGGGGUUCGGUAGAAACCUCUUUUUCAAGGUUGAAAUAAGGGAAAUGUUGUGUAAUGGAUUUCACGACUUCCCAAGAGGCUUCAGCACAUGGUAGACCCUUCCAUUGUACCAAUGGCUCUUGCUGUCCAUUUGGUAACUCAUGCAGCUCUAACACUUGGUCUGGAUUCACAGUCCACUCCAACUUGGCAUCCAAAUGGGGUGGCAGGUGGAGACAAGUCCCUGCAGCUCUCCACUGAUUUUCUCAGCUGUGAUAUAUGUAGAAUUGGGUGGAUUGUGGCUGUAGGGGUCAAUUCCAGAUACAUGCCACUGGUUCCCAAGAGGCUUCAAAGGUUGGCAACCUCUUAUAUUUAUUGUGAUGAUCGAUUGGAUUCUUCUCCUGCCACUUAUAUAGUACAAUCGUUUUCCUUGCAGCAUUGCCAUCGUUGCACGGGAAAGCAGUUUGAAGGAAAUCUGUAUUUUAGAUGGUAGAUUGUGGUUCCUGGAGAUAUUAGAAACCAAUUUAGCCAUAAGGAUUGAAGAGAUAUGGGCCAUGUUCUUGUUAUAACCAGAAGCUGGGCUCUUGUGAAAAUGGGCCAGGACAUUUGCUUCGAAUUGGACUCAUUUUAUUGAUAAUUCGGUUGUAAUUAAACACAGCUCCUUUACAGUGGAUUAAACCUAAUCUAAUUUAGGUCUGUUUUGAGGGUAACCUGUUUAUCCUCCACCUUAAGUGCCAACUCUAUUAUCUGGCCCAAUCUGGGAUCAAGCAUCAGUUCUUCUUCUCUACAAAUUUCAGAUUGCAUGCUAUUGAUGAAAAUCCUCUCCAGCGGAUCUAGAAAGUUAAGCCUCUGUAGCAUCGAAAUCUCAACAUCCCCUGAACCUUCCAGCCAUUUUCCUCUGUCUAGUGUUCUGUGAUCAGUCCUGUGUGCGUUCCUUGCGACCUGCCCUUCUGUGAGGUUCACAAAACCAUCUUCAUCGACCCUUCUACUCAGUGUCGGUCUUGUGAUUUUGGGGUCCUGGGGCGAACUUCAUAAAGUAGACCUCCCGACAGGGACGGAUCCAAGAUUGAAUCCAAGACCCGAUUACAAAAUUUCAAACCGGGCUACUACGUGGAAAAAAAGUUUUUACACAUAAAAAACUAGUUUUUUUUACCAAAAAAAAAAAAAAAAAACUUAAAAAAAAGCACUUGGGCCUGAGUUGGGGGGGGGGAGGGCUACAGUCCAGUCCAGCCCCCUUAAUCCGUCUCUGCCCCCCAAAAAAAUUGUAGAUCCUGAGUUGCUUUCCUUGUUGACACGGCUUGCACACAACAUUCUUACUUUGAUCAAUCUUAGGUAAACCAUCGACAAUCUAUUUUUUGACCAAUUUAGACAGACUUCUGUAGUUAACAUGAUCGAGUCUUUGAUGCCAAAGUUCAGAUAUAUCAAUUUUAGCACUACUGCAUACAUAGUUCGAGUUUGAAAGAACUCCAUAACAGUUAUCAGAUGUUCUAACACCUUCAAGAACAACAACACCAGAAGCGUCAUAAACAGUGCAUCUCUUCUGGACAAAACUCACUUCAUAGUCAGCAUCACAGAUUUGACUAAUGCUCAACAAGUUGGACUUAAGGCCCUCUACAUAAAGUACAUUGGAUAUUGUAGGAAGUCCAGCAAUGGUGAUGGAGCCUUUGCCUCGGAUGGGUGUUGUAGCUCCGUCCCCAAAGGUAACUACACCGCCGUGGCAGUCAUCAAAGGUAGAGAAUAAGACUUUGUUACCACACGUGUUUAGAACAAGCACUAUCAAGAUACCACAUACAUGUAUUUUGUGCUUUAUAUGCAACAUGAGCAACAAAACAUUUUAGAUUCUCAGUAUACUCACCCACAUCAGAUUUCUUUACCCAAACUUUUCUCGAGGUCGAGGUGAUCCUCGUCAACCUUGUUACCAUCUCAGUUAAGUGGCUAACUUGAUUUGAAAGGAAGUUCACUUGACCGGGGAUAGCCUGACUUCAAUUCCUAUUUACUAGCUUUCAACACCUAGGUCUCGUGUGGCCUAAGGCACCACAGUGAUGACACGUGGGUAUGAACUUAGGUUCAGAUGUAUGAGAGUGUCGAUUAUGGAAAUUAGAUGUAGAGAUCUUAUGACCUCUAGUGGUCUUCAGUCCAUUAAAGUUUUUGUCUUUGGAUUUUGGAUUUGUUGAAACAUUAGACCUGUUCAAAGCGGGGACAAAUGUGGUCUUUGAUAAACUAAACAUAUUGCUAUCACUCUUCUCAAAUCCUAGACCUUGCCUAUUUCCAGCUGGUUUGUUCAUUCCUAACAAAUCGUCUAGUUACUUAGUUCCAUUCACAAAUGAUUGCAGUUGAGUGUUGGAUCUCUCUAAGUCACAGAUCAAUAUCUUGACCUUGUCCUCUAAUCUUUCAUUGACACACUUCAACUCACUUAGAUUCUUAGAUGAGACUUGAAGAUCAUUUGUGAUUUUCUCCUUCUCUCUCUCAAGCUCGUCUACCUUUUUAAAAAGGGUUUUAUUUACCUUUUUGAUCUUGAGACUCUCUUUAAACAGGAGUUGAUAAGUCUCAUGUAUAUCCGUCUCAUCCUCCGAAUCAUCACCGGACUUGUUACUUUCAACUUCCUCCUCAACCUUCUCACUCUCCUUGUCUGACUCGCUCUUGACAGUAGAUACAAAAGCCAUAUAAUCCUUUCCCUCCUCACUGCUUGAGGAAUCACUUUGUUUACUUAAAUUAGAAUCAUCAUCAGUCAAGGACACAGCUAAUGCCUUCCUAUUCACCUUCUCUAGAUUUUUCUUAAAGUUAGGACAUUCAUUCUAUAGUGCCCAAAUCCUUGACACUCAUGACACCUAACCCUUAGAGAUUUCUUACCAGGGUUCCCAGUAGUUGAUUUAUCAUCUUUUUCUCUUGGCAAUUUGCUAGGAGUUCCUCUCAUUUUCUCUUGAGGCCAUUUUUUGCCCUUUAAGACUUUGAAUUUUUUUUCACAAAGUAGGCAAUCUCCUCAUCUCUAAGAGUUUCCAUGUUAGAUGAUUCAGACUCCCCUUCCCUAAUAGUGUUCAGGGCUAUGGACUUGUUCUUUCUUGGUUGUGAAAUGGUGAGUUCAUAGGUUUGAAAGGAUCCUAUGAGUUCUUCUAUCUUAAUUGUAUCUAGAUCUUUGCUUUCUUCGAUAGCUGUAACUUUAGGUCUCAAUUUCUCGAGCAAAGAUCUAAGAACCUUCCUCACAAUUUUGGGUUCGGGAAUCCUCUCAUCUAGGUUGAAACUAGAGUUAACAAUGUCAUUCAAUUUAGCAUAAAACUCAUCAAAAGAUUCAUCAUCCUUCAUCCUAAUUUCUUCGAACCUUGAGGUCAGCAUUUGCAAUUUUGAAUUUUUUACAGUUUUAGUUCCCUUAUGUGUAGUUUCUAGAAUGUCCCAUACUUUUUUAGUAGUUUCACACAUUGAUACUCUCCUAAAUUCUUUGGGAGACACAGACAUAAACAAGGCAUGAAGUCCUUUGCUAUUCCAAUUUCAAUAAGCUAAUUCUUCCUUAGUCCAAAGUGAAAUAUCAGUUAGAUUGACAACACCUGAUACAGUUGUAGAAGGAAGUUUCCAACCAUUUUGUAUGCUCACCUAAACACGUUCAUCUAAGAACUUACGAAAGGCACGCAUCUUAACUUUCCAGUAGGCAUAGUUGCUUCCGUCAAAAUACGGAGGCACAGACAGUGAUUGACUCAUCUAGACACAAUGCGUCAGGACUCGAGUUUUGACUCUGAUACCACUUGAAAUAACAUAGUUCGACCCAAUCAACACCUAGAGGAGGGAUGAAUAGGUGUUUAUAAGAAAUUUUCUUUUUCAAUCAAUUAAUUAUUACAACAUGUCACAAAAAUUAAUUUGUCCAUAUCAGUUCACAUGCUUUACUAUCCUAUGUUUGAAUGCCGGUCAUACGUUAAUUGUAGAAAUAUAAAUAACACAAUUGUUUGAUGACGGAGAAACCCCAAUGUGGGUAAAACUCCGAGCCAAGCCAGUAGAAAUCCACUAUAAACGUAAAUGAAACUUACAAUCAGCCAGACUCAACCUACACUAGUUUUUCUGACAUCUUGACCAUAGUUUUCUCAAGCCCUUCAUGGAAUGUGUGAUCUUGCACCAACUCUGGGCACCUAGCCCUCCUGGAUUGCGUGCUGCACCAAUUCCCAAGUCUUGAUUUUGUUUAUCUCCUGUGGAUUGAAGAGAACCGCCUAUUCUCUAAUGAUCGGGACUUCAAUCUCCUUCCUUGAUCUCCAAUAAUCAACAAAGGCACUUGAAGCUGGUGUUAUGGUGUUUGAUGUAUGUUGAUUUGAUCUUUUUCAUGUAAUUGAUCAAAUCAAGUAUAGGAUUGAAUGAGAAAGUUCAAGUAUAGGAUUGUUGUUCUCACUUUCAAUACCUUCAAAGCUCUCUUUUCAAUUCGGCGCUCUUUCUCUCAUGAACCUCUCUAUUUGCUAUUUUUGGUUAGGUUAAAAUGUCGAAAAAAAAGAGAAAAAUAGGGUUUUAUAGGUAACACUGUUGCUCGAGUAACAAGCGAGCGACGCUAUUUCGCUCGAGCGAAGUGGGGGCGAGAAGCGAGCGAUGACCAUUCUGUUUUUGUCGCUCGAGCGAUCAUUUGGCGAGCAGCUAGCGAAAUUUGACGACACAUCUUGUCCUACUACAUAGCUCGAACCCUAGCACACUUUGCCAAAAUUGCAACUGAGUUCAUCAUCUUUUACACAUGUGCACAAUGACCCCUAUCCUUUAAUAAUUGACAAAUUGACCACAGACUUUUGAGCAUUAACACUUUUACCCUUUUGUUCACAGAAUAGCCAACAAAGAAUAUAACAAUAUGAAUAUGCUUAAAUGCAUAUAAUUGAGUUGCUAAACAUGCUUAAGACUGUGAAGCUCAAUAUCAAAAUUUAUAGUGGACAAAUUGUAAACAUUGUCCCUCUAAGGCUUGUAAGAAGAAGUCUAAAUGUCAAGAGUCGUUAAUACGGCAUCAUUCGGGUAUGUCAAGAAUCAUAUGAAGUUUAUGAAUGAUCAAUAGAGGAUUCAACACUCUUAGCUAGUAAGAGAUGAUGAUCUACAUUUCAUCCUGUUAAGGUGUACUCAUAAGUCGAAAAGGUGUUUUCGACUUGUAAUUGACUUACUAUUGGAAUGAAAGAUUGAUAAAUAAUUAAGAUUGACAUUUAUCCAUAUCUCGCAAUUGAUCGGAUCAUAUUGACUAAGGGAUUAUAAUUUCACAGUAAAUGAACAAGUUUGGUUUUAUCAUACCACGUGAAUUUCCUGUCAUAUGAAUUGCCCUGACAUAUUACUAGAUGUAAUUUGGGAGGACGAAUGUGAUUUGAUGAUAAAUUAAAAGGGGAUAUUUUAAUUUAUUGAUUUUAGUUAGAAUGAGAUAAGAAUUCACGUCGUUAGAUAUCGUGAUUGGAAACCUAACGAGUCACACACAAAAGGAGAACUAGAAGAUUGAGAUUUACCAAUUAAUUAAUUAGCAAGUGUUGGAUAAAUUAAUUAAUUGAGUUGCUUAUUAAUAUGCCCGAAUUAAUUAAUCGGAUUAAUUAAUUCAUGAACCAGAUUUAAUUAAAUGAGUUAAUUAAAUAUUGGACAGAGUUAAGAGACGGGAUAAAUCAUAAAGAGACGAAAAGUUGGGAAAUUGGAGAUGUAAGAAUAAAUACAUAUAGAAGUUGAGAAGUUAAGUUAUGGAUUUGUAUUAAUUUAAUUGUCAAGUUUUAAUUUGAGUAAUUAUAUCGUUAUUUUAGGUAGUGACGUGAAAGCUUGGAAAGAGGAAAGACUCAUCAAUUUAGCCAAAUCUCUAUCUAUAGAUCUAUGAGUGGAUAUAAAAACUUAUUUUUCUGAAAUUAGUAUUUAUUAAAUUUAUAUUAUAUUAGAAAAUUUAUUAAUUCAUUCAGUUGAAUUGACAACAUGGUUCUUAGAAUAAAGUGAAUUUUAUAAUUUCUUUUAAAGUUAAAUUCAGUUCAAUUAAAUCAUUUCAAUAACAUGUUCCAUUCGUAUUACAUGUGUUAGUAUAGCUAAAGUUAUUUACCCAGAUGAUUUUACCCUUAUCUGCACGAGUGUGAAUGUGUUUCCAUAGUGUAUGACCAGUUAUGGUGAUUUUACCUGCUCUGCACUAUUGUGAAUGUGUUUCCAUAGUGUAUGACCAGUAUUACAUAAUUUCAGCUCUGCGUAUGUAUGACAAGGAUUUAAGAAUUAUAUAAUUUCAGAAUUCCAGAAUUAUGGAAUUGAAUAGCUUUGCCAUGUAUAUCAUAAACAAGUCUAUAGGGUUUGAAAACUGUAGAGAUUUUCGUUAUUCUUGUCAACACAAGAAAUGUAAAACCCUGAUUUACUCUCAAUCUUGUUCCCUGUGUGGAUUUCAAUUAGAGGCUGGACAAUUGGACAGUUGUGAGUUAUAGAUCAAGAUUGUUAAAACAAAAGAAAAGUAAAGAAGUUUGUGGAAUUCAACAAAAGUUAUAAUUUCUAUCUAAAUACAAAAUAGAUCUUUGGUGGGAAUUGGAAUUUGUUUUAUUUUUCGUUGUGCAUGAUUAAGUAAAUUCCCAAUAGUUUCAACAAACUAUAAAUUGGGUACUCAAAUCAUCAUUGAGUAGCAUUUUUGAGACACUUUUAAACCAAACAUAUAGUAAUAACUGUAAUACGAGAGGCUUCUUGCUUUGGUGUUGUUGUGGCUCCAAAGGUGCAAUAGGCUACUGUUAGUACCAUGAUGUUCCCUUGUAUUUCUUUAGUUGAAACUUUUCAUUCGUUAAGCUUGAUAGUCACAAGCUCUUUUUUAUUGACAUUGCAAUAAUAAAGCAACUAAAUUUAAACUCAUGGAUUUGAUGAUAGUGGAAACAUAUAUUUCAAGUUUUUUAGAGAGGGGCCUAAUAUAUGAUAGUUAUUGUUAGUUUUUUCCCAACUUCCAUUUUUUGAUAAAAGUGCAGUUUAUCCACUUGUAAUUUGUAAAAUACAUUGUACAAGUGAGAUUUUUGGAUUUUGUUUAUGUGGUUAACAUAUGAAUUUCCUAGGGAUACAAUGUGAGGUAGUGACGUAGUGUUUAGGCACUAUGAACUUAGUGUGAAAGAGCAGUUCACCCACUUGUUUAUGCAUCUUUAAAGUAUCUGUUUUGUUAAUUGUCUAGUGGCAUCUUGGUAAUGUGAGUCGUCGUUAGAAAUGUUAUAUAUAUAUUUUUUUCAAAUAUUGUUUAUUAUUAUUAUAUUUAUUUUUACUUAUUCUAAUAUCCUUCAAUAUCUUUUAAAACUUAUGACUGUAGGGGAAAGUUCUCAAGCUGCACUUCUACUGCCCUUGGCUGCAUUUGUAAGCCUCACCAUAACCUACAAACUCGAUAAAGCCUCACAAUGUUUUCUCAAUCCAGUGGGCCCAGCAUUGGAGUCCCUUUCAGCAAGUUGCCCAUGGCCGUGCAUGCCAAUAGUGGCUUCUUUGUGCACAGGGAUGGAGCUAGAAUAAAAGAGUUGUAGGGGCAAAUUUCACAAAAUUUUAAUUGUGGUGGCGAAACUGAAAACAGUAAGAUUUUUUUUUUUUUGGGUAAUUAUGUUACCACUACAAAAUUUAUCAAGUACACCACAAUUUUCUUAUUUACUUAAAUAUCAUCAAGUAAAAUUACAUAAUUAGGGUUUUAAUAUACCUUUUAAUUACAUAAAUUAUUGUUACACCACAAAUAUAAAACCUAACUUCUUUCUUUCUUUUUCCUCAACAUCUCAUUGCCAGCUUUUCAUUUCUUCCAUGGUGGCAAGAUAAUUCAUUUCUAGUUAUUCUAACACGAAAAGCUAGAAAUGCGAACUCUAUGCAUGUAGUGAUAAUUAGCCAGAAGGAUAAAUUCAAUGGACAAGUGUUACUUUGAACGAAUAUUGAUAUAUUUUCAUUCAUUUGAUUUUGAGCUACAAAAAUAGUUUUAGAAUUUAUUAGUUUCUGAAAGAGUAAAUAUAUGUAACUAAUUGUGUUUUGAUACCUUGAUGUUAUGAAAGCAGUUUUAUGAUUUUUUAUUUCCACAAUAAAAUAUAUUUUGGUACCUUAAUGUGGAAAAGAAAUGACAUGGUUCUCUAGAUUGGGUUAGAUAUGCAAAUUAUUGAAAGAAGUAAAGCUCCAUGGUUUGCUGCUGGUCUGUCUGUGCUUGUUUAUUCCUGUGGUCGUGGUUGUCUUCGUCUCUAGUUCUCAAGUAUUUUUACUACUAGAAUUGAGGAGGGAUAUUUUGCAGAGAUUCAGAGAUUUUAUUGGUAUGAAUAUGGCCUAGUGUUCUUCCCCGAUCUUCCAUUUCCAAUGAUUGUGAAAUAAUGAGGGAAAAUGUUGAGAAAAUGAGGAUUAACAUUGGUGAUAAGUGCACCACAAUAUUAUAUUCUUAAUUUUCAUUUUUUUGUUUUUGAAUUAGGAGUACAAUUGUAAUUUUAUUGUGGUGUACUUAUUGAAAAUAUUUUUUAAUUGUGGUGUUAUUAUAAUGUGGUGUGGUAAUUAAAAUUUGCUGUAUUAUAAUUACCCCUUUAAAAAAAAAAAAAUUGUACAAAAUCUUAGUUUAAGUCUUGGAAUUGAAAUUUAGUGUGGGAUAACUAACCCUACUACCCUAUCCUUAAUUUGCCCAUGUGUAUGGACCUAAAAGGCAAAAUGUUGGAGUGAUUUUCUUGCUUUUUCUGCCUCUCGUACAGUCUUCCUUAAUUGCAAUGAUGUGGUUGUUCAGCUUCUUUAGAGUUGCUUUAGUGCUAUGAUGGUUUAAAAGGUACCUGUAUCUCAAGCAACAGUCGUGUUGGAGCACUUCUUGGCCAUGGAUUUGGAUCAAAUUUUAGCAGUGGGAUCUCUCCAGUGGGAUUCUAUAUCUACGAGUCUAUAGAUCAAUCCGAGACAUUAUGUUUUUAAAGGAUGAGAUAGUUUCUUCACAGAUGCGAUCAGUGAAAGACGUAACAUUUAUGGGACUUCCUAGAGCGAGGUUCAAAAUGCUAAAGAAAGUCAAAAGUGGAUGAAACAUUGGAAUCUCUCGUUUGCUGCAGCAUUAACAAUAGUGAACUAGCAGCUUCUAUGGGGGCUUCUUUCAUGUUCUUAUUUUUUGGACGGGGAAUGGUUAAGUCACUAAUAAAGGAAACUCUUCUUGGUUUAUGUCCAUUCACUGGUCCGAGCAAGAAGGGGAAUCGGGUUAAGGGAUAUGCUAAGCAUACUUAAUGGCUAUUUGUGGAGCUUUUAUUUCCGAGAUUGACUCAUCAUCAUCUGCUUCAAAUCUUCGUUUGAAAAUUCUUGUCACAUCCAUUCAAAACUGUUAUAUAGGCUUGCCCAGCCGAUGAGGAAAAGCCAAAUCCUACUUAUUCUAGGGCAACAAAAAUUCUCCAAAAAAAAAAAAAAAAAACUGUGGCUGUAUGAGGUGAGAGAGAGACAAAAUCUGUGGCUUCCAAUUUAGUGAGGAAAAAGUACAAAAGCUAUCAUUGUGAAAAGUAAAAAACGGUGGCCGCUGGGAAGCCAUCUUCAAAACAAAAUCUGUGACAGUGGAGAGACUUUGGCUGAUUUUAAAAGGAAGAAAUCCUAGAUGCUGGAAAAAGAAAAAUAAUUGGAAGGGAUGUUUUCUUUCAAUCUUUUGGGUGUGGAUUCAUACAAGAUUUUUCUUCUCAACAUAAUACAAAUUGAGAUUUUCCCUAAGGUGUAUCUUGGGUACUUCAUAGGUGUUUUAUUCAAAGUGUGUUCUCUUAAGUUUAAUUAAAUUGGUGAUUUGUAGUGAGAUAAAUUGUUGUCUUUGAGAUUAAUUAUUGUGGUAUUUCUAAAUUGUUGAGAAUUAAAGUUUUGGGGGUAUAAACUUGAAUAUUGUAAUCUAUAUUAUUAUUACAGUAGAUUUGGCCAGAGUUGCCCCGUGGUUUUUUCUCCCUACACUGGAG
rnacentral:lncRNA from 1 species